UGGACAUGGUUCGUUCCAUGAUGAGUCGAGCUUCGCUACCAAUCUCAUUUUGGGGGUAUGCCUUAGAGACUGCCGCCCAUAUCCUUAAUCUAGUCCCUACAAAGAAGGUUUCCAAAACACCUCACGAGAUGUGGACUGGAAAAGUUCCCAAUCUAGACCACAUCAAGAUUUGGGGUUGUGAGGCUUUCGUGAGACGUGAGACUCACGAUAAGCUCGAACCCUGAAGCGAAAGGUGUAUUUUCAUCGGCUACCCAUAGAAAUCCUUUGGCUACAUCUUCUACAGACCCAGUGAUAAUGUGGUCUUUGUAGCAAGAAGAUGAUUCUUUCGAGAGAGAGAAUUCAUGAGCCAAGGAGACAGUGGGAGGCAAAUUGACCUUGAGGAAAUUCAAGAGUCAAGUGGUGAAGGAACCUCAAACCCUAGCCCUCAACCUGAGGAGGAAACUCCUGUUGAGCCGACUUGAGAAUCUAUACCUCUGAGGCAUUCCACCAGAGUCAGGAAUGCACCUGAGCAUUAUUAUGGUUUCCAUAUUACUGUAUAAGUUGAGACACUUAUCAGUGAUAACACACUGGUAAAUCUGGAAGAGCCUAACAGCUACAUGGAAGCCAUGGCAGGCCCUGAGGUUGCUAAAUGGAAAGAGGCUAUGGAUAGCGAGAUACAGUCCAUGUAUGACAAUCAAGUUUGGAACUUGGUUGACAAUGUACCUGAUCGUAAGGUAGUUGGGUGCAAAUGGAUCUUCAAGAAGAAGACCGACAUGGAUGGUAAUGUACACACUUAUAAGGCACGACUGGUUGCAAAGGGUUAUUCUCAAACUCCGGGAGUUGAUUAUGAUGAGACCUUUUCACCAGUGGCCAAGAUAAAGUCUAUUAGGGUUCUGUUAGCCAUUGCUGCAUUUCAUGAUUAUGAAAUAUGGCAAAUGGAUGUCAAAACCGCUUUCCUUAAUGGAAAGUUGGCUGAGGAUGUUUACAUGGUUCAGCCAGAGGGUUUUGUCAGUACAGAGUACCCCAAUAGAGUGUGUAAACUCGAGAAAUCCAUUUAUGGAUUGAAACAGGCACCUCGCAGAUGGAAUCUUUGCUUUGAUGAGAAAGUCAAGGAAUUUGGCUUUUCAAGGAGUGAAGAUGAAUCUUGUGUCUAUAUCAAGGCUAGUGGGAGCAUAGUCAGCUUUUUGGUACUGUAUGUGGAUGACAUACUAUUCAUAGGAAAUGACAUCCCAACCCUACAGGAAGUAAAGUCCUAGCUUGGGAAGUGUUUUGCUAUGAAGGACCUUGGUGAAGCUGCCUAUAUUCCUCCAAGAAGGGUGAGUUACCCAUCCAGAGUAACUCCAUAUUAGGAAGUGUUUUGCUAUGAAGGACCUUGGUGAAGCUGCCUAUAUUCCUCCAAGAAGGGUGAGUUACCCAUCCAGAGUAACUCCAUAUUAAGUAAGACACAAAGCCCUAGUACUGAGGCUGAGAUAUCAGAAAUGAAUCGAAUACCUUAUGCUUCAGUUGUAGGAUCGAUCAUGUAUGCUAUGAAGUGUACUCAACAUGAUGUAGCCUUUGCUUUGAGCAUGGUUAGCAUGUAUCAGGGGAACCCUGGCCAGGCACACUGGACUGUGGUAAAGAAUAUCCUCAAGUACCAACGAAGGACUAAGGACUGGGUCCUUACCCUUGGUGGGAGUGAUGACUUGAGAGUUGUAGGGUACAGUGAUGCUAGCCUUCAGACUGACAGGGAUAAUUUCCGCUCUCAGUCGGGCUGGGUCUUUACCCUAAACGGAGGGGCAGUUACUUGGAAAAGUUCCAAGCAGGAGACAGUGGCUGAUUCCACUUGUGAAUCAGAGUAUAUAGCAGCAAGCGAGGAAGCAAAGGAGGCUAUAUGGCUAAAGAACUUCAUCGGAGACCUUGGAGUUGUACCAGCUAUAAAGGAGCCAAUGGAGAUUUUCUGUGACAGCAAUAGUGCGGUUGCCUUAGCCAAGGAACCAAGAGAUCAUGGAAGAUCCAGACACAUUGACAGAAAAUAUCACUUCAUCAGACAUCGAAUAGAAGAAGGAAUCCUCGUGGC
rnacentral:lncRNA from 1 species